UCGGACGGGGGGGGUAACGCGUGAGAAUCUGCCUUCAGGUCUGGGACAACCACUGGAAACGGUGGCUAAUACCGGAUGUGCGCAAGGUGAAAGGUUAACUGCCUGAAGAUGAGCUCGCGUCUGAUUAGCUAGUAGGUAGUGUAAAGGACUACCUAGGCGACGAUCAGUAGCUGGUCUGAGAGGACGAUCAGCCACACUGGGACUGAGACACGGCCCAGACUCCUACGGGAGGCAGCAGUGGGGAAUUUUCCGCAAUGGGCGAAAGCCUGACGGAGCAAUACGCGUGAGGGAGGAAGGCUCUUGGGUCGUAAACCUCUUUUCUCAGGGAAGAACACAAUGACGGUACCUGAGGAAUAAGCAUCGGCUAACUCCGUGCCAGCAGCCGCGGUAAUACGGAGGAUGCAAGCGUUAUCCGGAAUGAUUGGGCGUAAAGCGUCCGCAGGUGGCUAUGUAAGUCUGCUGUUAAAGAGUCUAGCUCAACUAGAUAAGAGCAGUGGAAACUACAUGGCUAGAGUGCGUUCGGGGCAGAGGGAAUUCCUGGUGUAGCGGUGAAAUGCGUAAAGAUCAGGAAGAACACCGGUGGCGAAGGCGCUCUGCUAGGCCGCAACUGACACUGAUGGACCAAAGCUAGGGGAGCGAAUGGGAUUAGAUACCCCCAGUAUUCACCCCUUUCUC
rnacentral:rRNA from 1 species